rnacentral:lncRNA from 1 species
ACUUCCGGCGGGCGGGCUCCGAAAGGAGAGCGUGGUGUCUGGAGGUGAUCGGAAGGGACUGGCUGGAGUGUGGCGGGCUGACAGGUCUGAGGCCUGAAGGACUUCCGGGAACCGCAAAGCACGGUGUGCCUCCGCUGUCCUGAAGAAAAAGCCGCGCGCGGACGACUGGCCGGCCCGCGCUUGCAGCUCCCAGAAGUUGACAGGCAUCCUCCGGUGACCGGUGUGAGUAUGGCAUCAGGAUGAUUUGACUGCAAGCAACAGAAAAAUCAAACAAAAAUGGCCUAAGCCAAGAAGAGAAAUGAUUAUUUCACAUUCCAAGAAGUUUGGGAGUCGAGUGGUUAAACGGCUAAUUAAUCUAGAGCUCAACAGUAUCACCCAGGACCCAUUUUCACUAUGGUGGCUAAAGCUCUGCACCCUUCAGGCUUGCACCAUGGCAGCAGCAGUGACAGUAAAGACACCCUUACACCACAAUGCUCCAUGACCAGGGAGAGGGUCUCCUCUCUCCUGCCCCUUUCUGGAGGCUCCACCGAAGAUUUCUCUUCACAUUCCGUUUCUCAUUCCUGAAGCAGUUGCUGGCAACAGGGAUGGACUUACCGCAAUGGGUACAGAGCAACUAAGAUUCACCACUAGGUGAGUCCUUUGGAAAACACUUGGCCAUCCAAUAUAUAAACAAAUCUGGUACUCCUGUCAGGAAAGAGGUAGGUAAUUCCCAACAGCCAAUAGUGUCUGCCACAAGUGAAAUAUCUCAUCAGAGAAAACUGAGUAGGUAAUACAUGAUUCUGUGUUUUCUCUGUUUUCUGCCUUUGCUUUUUCCAUUUGGUAAGACUCACCUGUGUUCCUCUUUGUGGCUCUUUCUCCUUGAUAAUACAACCCUGGUUUAGUUCAGAUACAGGUGGCAAUAGGCCAGAAUUUGUCCUAGGAGACAAAUUCGUGAUGAGCCUCGCAAAGUCAUGACAAUCCCAAUUCCAUUUGCCAGUGAACCAUUUAGGGAUGGCCACGUGACUCAGUUCUGGUCACCAAGGUGGUGGAAGAGAAGUUCUCUUGAGGGGCAUCUGGGAAAGAUUCUUCUGCCUGAUAAAACAGGAGGUAAGCAAGGGUUCUGCUCCCCCAUUUGUUUCUGCCUUUGAACGUGGCUGUGGGAAGACAUGAUGCUUAGUGUUGCUGCAGCUAUCUCAUGACCUUGGGCAAAACAUCCCAACACACAGGAGGGCCAAACAAGCAGUCAGAAGAAGCCUGAGUCUUGUGGGUGUUGUUGAGCAGCUGAACAAACCCUAGGAUGGCUUCCUUCCAGACUUCUUAGGAUUGCGAACAAUGAAGCUCUAUUGUUUAAGCAAGGUAUCGAUGGCUAUUUUCACUUGCCACUGAAAGCACCAGGACAGAGAAUCGUCUUUCUAGGAAUACAGCCACAAAAGCCUUCAUUAUGGUAUAUGCACAUAAAGAAUAUAAAAGUUUCCUUUAUGUUUCUCUUUAAAAUAUAGCUGAAGUCUGCCUCAGGCAAAAAGACAAACAGAAAACAUAAAUGCAUACAUAAUUCAAGAACAAUAAAUAUUUAUUUUAAAAUGAAUAAAUGUUCUGCAGGAUAUUGUAAUAGUUUUCUCAGGGAAUAUAUUUUUCUAAUACUUAUAUCAACUAACAGUAUUUCUGUGGCAUCUCCAGGUCCUCUGUGUUUAAGUCCUCCCUAGAAACUGCAUUUCUCUCCUUUUUCCUGCUACUUUGGAUCUCAAAUGUGCCUAAAAAGAAAUACUUUUAACUUCUCUGGUUUUUCUUUUUUCAAAUAUUAACUUGUAACUUGCAGUUGUAACAUGGUUGUUGCUAGCUAGCUGUCAAGUAUUUGUCCAAAAAUGUGUUCCUAGAAUACCUUCAUCUUACAGUCACUCAAUCCAUAAUAGAGUUUAAACAUUUUUCCAUAAUAUUUCACAGAAUAUUCAUGUUUUUACAUAAAAAACACUUUUAAUAUAUGAACUAUCUGCAACACACAGCAAAAUCCCAGUUAUAUGACAUCAAUAGCCAUAUACUAAAAUACACCUAACAAUAUUCAUAUUAAACUCAAAUUUAAUAUAUGUUAAUAUGUAGGCAUAUUUACUUAUACAUAAAGCUGUAGAUUUCUCUCUAUCCUUCCCCCGUACUUCCCAGAGGUAACCAUUGUAUUGAUGAUGAUGUUGAUGACAGCAACAAUGAUGAUGAUAAUGAUGGUAAUAAAAACCGCAAAUUUGCUGUAUGCCAGGCAGUAUUCUAAGCACUUUACAUACAUUAACUCCUUAAAUGUCCACCGCAGACAUAUGACAUAGAUACUAUUAUUAUCCUUCAUUUUAUAGAUGAGAGGUUGAGAAAAAAAUUGGUUAAGCAGCUUGUCCAAGGCCACACAGCUGGUGUGCCAGGAUUCCAACACAGGCAAUCUGGCCCUGGAGCCCUUUGCCGUAUCCCAUUGCUAUAUGGAUAUUGCUGUGUAUCAUUAUAUACUUUCUCUAAACAUGUAUGCAACCAUAAAAAGCUAUACAUAGGAUUUCUCUCCUUUUUAAAAAGUAUAUAAUCUUAUAACAUUUAUGGGGUCUUUUUCCAGUUAUUUUGCUAUUAUGAAAAAUGUUGCAAUGAAUAGUCUUGAAUAUACAUCCUUGUGCAUUUACUCUCUGGUAAACAUCUAGAAGCCAAAUUUCUGCUUGGUAGAUUACUCAUAUUAACAUUUUUUUUUUAGUUAUUCCAAAAUUGCUCUUCAAAGUAAUUGUACCAAUUUGCAGUUCUGCCAGCACUGUAUAAGUUUUCCAUUUCUCGCUAACUCCAUCAAUUCUUUGUAUCAUUGAGUUCGCUGAUUUUUGCUAAUCUGACUGAUGUGAGGUGGUAUUUCAUUAUUCUCAUUUGCACUCUUCUUUGAUUGCUAGAGAGGUAAGAGCAUCUUUUCAUAUGCUUGUUAUCUAUUUAUGCUUAUUUUUUUCUUGGAUUUUCAUUUUGUCUGAUUUUAAACGAAUUCUAUGACAUUCUGCUGAAUAAAGUGAGUUACAUAGGUUGUAAACACCUUCCCAUGGUAGCUAUUGACCUUCUUUUUGUUGUCAUCUUGAUACAUGGAAGUAUUUAGUUUAAUGUAGUUACAUUCUCAAUACUUUCUUUUCUCAAUAUGGUUUAUGCUUUUAGCAUUAUAAGUAAUAUGGCAGUACUCAGAUGUCAUCAAGAUAUUCUUCUAUAUAUUCUUUUUAAAUUUAGCUUUUCACAUUUAGGCAACUUUGAGUAUGCUAUGAAGUAGUACCCAAUUUUACCGUCUUUCAUAUAAAUACUUGAAUCUAUCUUUUUCUAUAUGGUGAUGUCUCAGCAUCAUUUAAUGAAGACUCUCAUUCUUUGCCCAGUGAUUUGUGAUGUUAUCUCUGUCAUAUUCCACAUUUACAUAUCUAAGUGGUUUUAUUCGUACGCUCUCUAUUCCCUGUGGCAAUAUCACAUUGUUUAGUAUAGUUUUACAUGAUAAUGUAGUAUCAAUAUUCAAAAGGAUAACCACCCUGCUUUUUUCUUUUCCUCCUUCUCUGCCUCCUUCUCCUCCUUCUUCUUUGCAAUUGUCUAGCCUAUUCUUGAAUUUUUAUUCUUUCAUAUGCAUUUAAGAAUCAUCUUGUCAAGUUCUUCGAAAAACCCUACUGAAAUUUUUAUUGAAAUUGUAUUGAAUUUAUAUGUGAAUUUGGGAAAAAUUGUCUUUUUUUUUUUUUUGACGGAGUCUCGCUCUGUCACCCAGGCUGGAGUGCAGUGGUACAAUCUCAGCUCACGGCAAACUCGGCCUUCUAGAUUCACGCCAUUCUCCUGCCUCAGCCUCCCAAGUAGCUGGGACUACAGGCACCCACCACCUGGCCUGGCUAAUUUUUUUUGUAUUUUUAGUAGAGACGGGGUUUCACCAUGUUAGCCAGGAUGCUCUCGAUCUCCUGACGUCGUGAUCCGCCAGCCUCGGCCUCCCAAAGUGCUGGGAUUACAGGCGUGAGCCACAGCGCCCGGCCAAUUUCACAAAUAGAUUUUUUUUCUUACUGUAAAUCUUAGCAAGCUCAGCAUACGAAUUUUUUUUUCCUUAAAUUGAAAGCUUUUACCCUUUCACUUAAAGGCAGCACUUUAUGGCUUCUCUUGGGCAUAUCCAAAUUGCUACCAUCACUACUCGUAUUAGUCCAUUUUCACGCUGCUGAUAAAGACAUACCUGAGACUGAGAAAUUUACCAAAUAAAGAGGUGUACUGGACUUACAGUUCCACAUGGCUGGGGAGGCCUCACAAUCAUGGUGGAAGGCAAGAAGGAGCAAGUCAUGUCUUACAUGGAUGGCAGCUGGCAAAGAGAAAGCUUGUACAGGGAGACUCCCGUUUUGAAAACCAUCAGAUCUUGUGAGACUCAUUCACUAUUACAAGAACAGUGCAGGAAAGAUGCACCCCUGUACUUCAAUCACCUCCCAGCAGGUUCCUCCCACGACAUGUGGGAAUUGUGGGAGUUACAAUUCAAGAUGAGAUUUGGUUGGGGACACAGCCAAACCAUAUCACUACUCUUGUGCUUUGGGGCCAUUAUGAAGUAAAACAAGCAUUAUUUGAACACAAGAACUGCAAUACCACCACAGUAGAUCUGAUAACUGUUGGCUACUAAGUGACUAAGGGGCAGGUGAAGUAUACAGCUUGGAUGCGAUGGACAAAGAGGAAGAUCUACCUCCCAGCUGGGAUGGAGCAGGACGAUGCAAGAUUUCAUCACACUACUCAGAAAGGCAUGCAGUUUAAAGCUCGUAAAUUAUUUCAGGAAUUUUCCAUUUAAUAUUUUCAGGCUGUGGCUGACCGUGAGUAACAAACCCAGGAAAGCGAAACUGCAGAACAGUGGAUGGGAGAAAGGGUGAAUUACUGUAUAUUCAUGAGGGAUAUUAGUCCAUAGUUUCUUUUUUCCCUUUUAACAAAUUUUUGGGUUUUGUAUAUAGUUUGUCUGGUUUUGGUAUCAGGGUAAUACUAGCUUCAUAAAAUGAAUUGGAAAGCGUUUCUUCUGUUUUCCUAAAAAGAUUAUAUGGAAUUAGCAUUCAUUCUUUAAACACUUGGUAGAAAUCUUAAGUAAAACCAUCUGAGCUCGGAGAUUUUUUUGUGUGUGUUAUAAAAUUACAUAUUCAGUUUCCUUAAUAUUUAUAAGAUCAUUUUAAUUAUCUGUGUUUUUCAGUGAAACGGGUCAAUUUUCUGUAUGUUGUCAAAUUAAUAUUUGUAGAAUUGUAUUAGUAUUCUUCAUUAUCCUUUUGAUGUCUGCAGAAUCUGUAAUGGUAUCCCUGUUUUAUUUCUGAUAUUAAUUUGUGCCAUUAUGUCUUUUUUUCUUUGUUGAUCUUGUCAGAAGUUUGUCAAUUUUAUCAAUUUGUUCCAAGAACCAGCUCAUUGAUUUGGUUUCAGUUUCAUUGAUUUCUACUUUUAUCUUUAUUAUUUCCUUCUUUUUCUUGCUUUUGGUAUAUUUUGUGCUUCUUUUUCUAGGUUCUAGAGGUGGAAGCAUACGUUAUUGAUUUGAGACCUUUCCUCUUUUCUAAUGUGAGCAUUUUAGUUACAUUUAGUUCCCUCCUAGGACUACUUUAAUUGGAUUAUUGAGAGGUGUUGAAGUCUCCAACUGUAUUUGUGGAUUUAUUUAUUUUUCCUUUCAGUUCUAUUAGUUUUAGCUUCACAUUAUUUUGCAGCUCUGAUGUUUAAAGGUGCAUGAACAUUUAGGCUCACUAUGUCUCAGUGAAUUGACCCUUUUAUCAUUACGUAAUAUUCCUCUCAGUCUCUGGUCAUUUUCUUUGUGCUGAAAUAUACUUUAUCUGAUAAUAUAAUGACUGUUCCCUGUAGAUUAAUAUUUUCAGGAUGUAUCAUUUUUAUUUUUUUAUUUUCAACCUGCCUGUAAUCAUUAUAUUUGCAGUGAAUUUUUUCUAGACACUGUAUAGUUGAAUCAUUUAAAAAAGUCUGCUCUGGCAAUGUGUCUUUUAAUUGGUGUAUUUAGAUCAUUACAUUUAAUAUAUUUACUGAU